rnacentral:rRNA from 1 species
CCUACGGGUGGCAGCAGUGGGGAAUAUUGCACAAUGGGGGAAACCCUGAUGCAGCAACGCCGCGUGAGGGAAGAAUUAUUUCGGGAUGUAAAGCUCUAUUAUCAGGGAAGAAAAUGACAGUACCUGACUAAUCAGCCCCGGCUAACUCCGUGCCAGACGCCGCGGUAAUACGUAGGGGGCAAGCGUUAGCCGGAUUUACUGGGUGUAAAUGGCGCGUAGACGGGUUCGCAAGUCAGAAGUGAAAUCCUGUGGCUGAACCGUAGAACUGCAUUUGAAACUGUGUAGCUAGAGUGCAGGAGAGGUAAGUGGAAUUCCUGGUGUAGCGGUGAAAUGCGUAGAUAUUAGGAGGAACACCGAUGGCGAAGGCGGCUUACUGGACUGUAACUGACGUUGAGGCGCGAAAGCGUGGGGAGCAAACAGGAUUAGAUACCCCGGUAGUC